rnacentral:rRNA from 1 species
UACGAAGGGGGCUAGCGUUGCUCGGAAUCACUGGGCGUAAAGCGCCCGUAGGCGGCUUCUUAAGUCAGGGGUGAAAUCCUGGAGCUCAACUCCAGAACUGCCUUUGAUACUGAGGAGCUUGAGUCCGGGAGAGGUGAGUGGAACUGCGAGUGUAGAGGUGAAAUUCGUAGAUAUUCGCAAGAACACCAGUGGCGAAGGCGGCUCACUGGCCCGGUACUGACGCUGAGGUGCGAAAGCGUGGGGAGCAAACAGG